rnacentral:misc_RNA from 1 species
UGCAGAUAAUAUAAAUCAGCUGUUUGAGGUACCUCUGAUCCUUCACGCGUUUUUAUGGCAUGGUUCUGUAUGUGACAAUUAUAACUGCAACGUCUUGUGAAUUUCAUAAGGCUUCAGUUAAUUAACUUGUUACUUUAAAACAAGCAAAAAAAAGGGGGCAGGGGAGAAAGUAUUUAUUUGGACUCCAUGCCUUUUGGUACAAUGUCAUUAAACUGGUGAUACUCUCCCCUCAAGGUGCAGUUAUGUGCCCCAACAGAAUUUAGACCCUUAUUUUGGUAGAAAAACAGAACAACCCCA